CAGCGGAGCGUUAUACAGUACGGCACAUCCGCACAAUUUGUCGCGAACAAGUUGAAUUGUGUUUGCUUUUCACACAACGCUGUGGGACGCCCUCCCCAUCCAGACAAACAGACCUGAAACGCCAUCACGAUGCUGACUUCCAUCCAGCUGAUCACUUCUUUGCUUCUUUGGACCAGCACCGGCGAGAAGCUUUUCCACCAUCGCGAUCACUCGGAUUUGCAGAUGUUCAACGCCCAGCAAGCUCAGACCAUAACGGACGAAUACACAGCAGAGCUCUUCCUGUCGAGAUACGGCUUCAUGAAGCCAGUGAGGUGGGAGGAGACGCGGGACAGGUAUGAGGAUCUCGACGACAAUAAUGAUUUCCUUGACGACCUCCAAGCGAGCAUCCAGGAGGGGACCUCGGUGCCUCAUUUCAGGGAUCGCCCUCCUCCAGAAGGAGAAAACCAAGCGUUGACUGCAGCACUUAAAGACUUCCAGAGGCUGUCUGGCCUUCCAGUGACUGGCGCUUUUGACGACGCCACCAGAGAGGCCAUGAACAAGCCAAGGUGUGGUGUCCCCGACAAGGAAAUGGAGCUGGAACCGGAGGACCCUAUGGAAGUGUCCAGUACUGGACCUGAACUUGAAGAGAGUCUGGCCUUGGAUGUUGAAAACAGCACCACUUUAGACACUUUCAAUGAGACUGACAGCAACUACACAACAAGCGACACACCCCCUCGUGUCGCUAAUGACUCUGAAACAGACCCGGUGAACAUUAACGGCACGGUAAGUGCUCUCUCUGACACCAACGCCACCAAUUUCCGCGCCGAUUUCACGACAAGCUCCUCCCGGGAUUACCACUUGGCGAAAAUGCAGUCAGGCCCAGCGGUGACACGCAGGAAACGCCACCUGGCCGCCCUGGUGACCAAGCGCAGGCGGCACAGGAGGGACCUGGGCGAGGCGGGCCACGUGGCCUUCAGCAAGAACGUCCUGAGGUGGCGGCUGAUGGGCGAAGGCUACAGUAAUCAGCUGUCCAUUGAGGAGCAGCGCUACAUCUUCAGGCUGGCCUUCCGCAUGUGGAGCGAGGUGUCACCGCUCCAGUUCAUGGAGGACAACGGGUCACCGCUGGAGGACAUCGACAUCAGGCUGGGCUUUGGCACAGGAAGACAUCUUGGUUGCAAUCAGAGGUUUGAUGGCAGCGGUCAAGAGUUUGCUCACGCCUGGUUUCUGGGCGACAUCCACUUCGAUGACGACGAACAUUUUACAGCGCCUAACACCGGCAGUGGAAUUAGCCUCCUUAAGGUGGCAGUUCACGAGAUUGGACACGUUUUAGGGCUACCCCACAUCUACAGACCCGGAUCCAUCAUGCAGCCCAGCUACCUGCCCCAGGAGGCCGCUUUUGAAAUGGGCUGGAUGGACAGGAAAGCCAUACAGAACCUCUACGGCGCCUGCAAGGGCCGCUUCAGCACCGUGUUCGACUGGAUCCGACGGGAGAGGAGCCCCUACGGGCAGGUGGUGGUCCGUUUCAACACCUACUUUAUGAGGGAGGGCUGGUACUGGCUGUAUGAGAACCGCAACAACCGGACGCGCUAUGGCGACCCGGUGCCGCUGCGGAUCGGCUGGCGGGGGCUCCCCGCGGAUGGAGUGGACGCCUAUGUGCACGUUUGGUCUCUGAAGCGAGACGAUGUCUACUUCUUCAAAGGUACUCAGUUCUGGAAGUACGACAGCGACAAUGACAAGGUCUUCGGACAGGACCCGGAGGGCCACCGCUAUCCCAGGAAGAUCUCCGAGGGUUUCCCGGGAAUCUCCGGUCCCAUUGAUACGGCCGUGUACGACCGAAGGGACUCAUGCAUUUACUUCUUCAAAAACACCCUUGUGUACGCCUUUAGCGUGGAGUCCAACGGUGUGGCGCCGGGUUUUCCGAAAGCCAUCCAAAAGGCGUUCCCGCCGGUGUCUGGCGGAGACCACCCGGGCGGUAACAUCGACGUUGCCUAUUUCUCGUACGCACACAACGCCGUCUUCCUCUUCAAGGGCCGGCGCUUCUGGCAGGUGGUGAGCGGCCGCGACCGCCGCCGACGCCCCUUCCUGCCGCGGAACGGCCUGCUGCCGCACAAGGAAGUGGAUCGGCACUGGUUCGACAUCUGCGACGUCCACCCGACCGCACUCACGCUAACUAGAUGAAGAGUGGACACGUCGCACCGUAGCUACCUGGAAGAUGCGCUAUUCUUCACUGAGGAUAAAGAAAACAUGUCUCUGGACUUCGUUGGUGUGGCGGGAUCCCCAUCAUGAAGGACCCGACCGGAACCCUUGGCUUUUGAUGCUGGCAACUAACCAGUAAGGAGAGAGACUUGACUGUUUCCCCUGGUGCUGGAUUUGGCUUCAACUCAUGCGAGGCUGCUGUCACAGAAGUUGAACUUUGUACUCUCUGGCAAAAGCUUGCUUGGCCACUAUCGCCAUAACUGACGCCCCGUCACACAACAUGUAGACUGGCUAACGGUGAGCCAAUUAACAGCCAGCUGUUAACCUCUCUCUCACUGACUCCCACGUCAAGAGAAGACGACCCCUAAGUAGACCAAAAUCAUACCUGCACCUCAGCUCUACAUUUAGCACUACACGCAGUGACAUCAGUCAUAGCAAAGUGCUAUCGUUCCUGCGUGGGGUCCACUUCUCAUGACUCUCCUUCAAACAAAACACAGCAAAACCGAAAGCGCGCAAAGACGCACAACAUCCCAGGCAGGUUUCGGCGUUAUUAAGGAAAUUCUGCAUGAACCCGAGUCAGCGGUUUUUGUCAAACCACCACACCUCCCCUCCGCCCUGGUGGUUUCCCAUCCAUUACAACCCUGAUACUGUCUCAGAAGCUUGGCAGGCCUGCUCCCUCUGUUUAUACACCAGUGACACGGCCAAAAGGUGUGCGUGCCGAGGCGUUAUGCCCCGGGGAGCAGUGCCCACAGUGCACUAGAGGCAUCUGAACCUUGUCAGUGGUCGUAAACCCGAAGCCACCCCGUCGGCCGCCGCCCGUUUUGCCGAGACGUCC